rnacentral:tRNA from 1 species
GUCCUCGUAGAUCAAUUGGAUAGAUCGUCGCCCUGCGAAGGCGAAGGUUCGCAGUUCAAAUCUGCGCGAGGACG